rnacentral:rRNA from 1 species
CCAUAUUGAUUGACACGACUCUCGGCAAUGGAUAUCUCGGCUCUCGCAUCGAUGAAGAGCGCAGCGAAAUGCGAUAUGUGGUGCGAAUUGCAGAAUCCCGCGAACCAUCGAGUCUUUGAACGCAAGUUGCGCCUGAGGCCAACCGGCUGAGGGCACGUCCGCCU